rnacentral:rRNA from 1 species
UACGUAGGGUGCAAGCGUUGUCCGGAAUUAUUGGGCGUAAAGAGCUCGUAGGCGGUCUGUCGCGUCGGCUGUGAAAACUCGGGGCUCAACUCCGAGCUUGCAGUCGAUACGGGCAGGCUAGAGUUCGGCAGGGGAGACUGGAAUUCCUGGUGUAGCGGUGAAAUGCGCGAUAUCAGGAGGAACACCGGUGGUGUAAACGGCUUUCUGGACCAUAACUGACGCUGAGGCACGAAAGCGUGGGUAGCAAACAGG